GAAUUAUCUGCUAUUGAAGAGUGAAAGAACAAUUGGAAAGAGACUCUAGAUGCCGAUAUUAAGAAGAUAGAGGACUUUUGAGUUCAACCUUGGCGGAGCUGUGGAGUGUAUAUGUUCUGUUUUAAUUGCAUUUACAUGGAUUUUUUUUUUUAUUAAUGUAUAUGAAUGAUACUCUAAUGGUUGAUGGUAUAUUGAUCAUUUGAUACUUUAGGUUGAAUUCUUUAUAAAGUAGUGGAGAAUUGAUUGUAAUGAACGACUAUUUUUAUGUAAUUUAUAUUUUAUUAUUUC